rnacentral:rRNA from 1 species
UACGUAGGGUGCAAGCGUUAAUCGGAAUUACUGGGCGUAAAGGGUGCGUAGGCGGUUCGUUAAGUCUGUCGUGAAAUCCCCGGGCUCAACCUGGGAAUGGCGAUGGAUACUGGCGAGCUAGAGUGUGUCAGAGGAUGGUGGAAUUCCCGGUGUAGCGGUGAGAUGCGUAGAGAUCGGGAGGAACAUCAGUGGCGAAGGCGGCCAUCUGGGACAACACUGACGCUGAAGCACGAAAGCGUGGGGAGCAAACAGG